AUUGAACGCUGGCGGCAGGCCUAACACAUGCAAGUCGAGCGGAUGAAGGGAGCUUGCUCCUGGAUUCAGCGGCGGACGGGUGAGUAAUGCCUAGGAAUCUGCCUGGUAGUGGGGGAUAACGUCCGGAAACGGGCGCUAAUACCGCAUACGUCCUGAGGGUGAAAGUGGGGGAUCUUCGGACCUCACGCUAUCAGAUGAGCCUAGGUCGGAUUAGCUAGUUGGUUGGGUAAAGGCCUACCAAGGCGACGAUCCGUAACUGGUCUGAGAGGAUGAUCAGUCACACUGGAACUGAGACACGGACCAGACUCCUACGGGAGGCAGCAGUGGGGAAUAUUAGACAAUGGGCGAAAGCCUGAUCCAGCCAUGCCGCGUGUGUGAAGAAGGUCUUCGGAUUGUAAAGCACUUUAAGUUGGGAGGAAGGGCAGUAAGUUAAUACCUUGCUGUUUUGACGUUACCAACAGAAUAAGCACCGGCUAACUUCGUG
rnacentral:rRNA from 1 species